CCUACGGGUGGCAGCAGUGAGGAAUAUUGGUCAAUGGCCGGAAGGCUGAACCAGCCAUGCCGCGUGAAGGUCAGUGCCCUAUGGGCGUUAAACUUCUUUUGUGCGGGAGCAAUAAUGGUCACGUGUGGCCAGACGAGAGUACCGUACGAAUAAGCAUCGGCUAACUCCGUGCCAGCAGCCGCGGUAAUACGGGGGAUGCAAGCGUUAUCCGGAUUUAUUGGGUUUAAAGGGUGCGUAGGCUGUGAGGUAAGUCAGCGGUGAAAUGCCCCCGCUCAACGGGGUGAAGUGCCAUUGAUACUGCCUGGCUGGAGUGCGGAUGAGGUGGGAGGAAUGUGUGGUGUAGCGGUGAAAUGCAUAGAUAUCAGACAGAACACCGAUUGCGAAGGCAUCUCACGGAUCCGCGAUUGACGCUGAUGCACGAAAGCGUGGGUAUCAAACAGGAUUAGAUACCCCAGUAGUC
rnacentral:rRNA from 1 species